UACGUAGGGUGCAAGCGUUGUCCGGAAUUAUUGGGCGUAAAGAGCGUGUAGGCGGCCCGAUUAGUCCGCUGUGAAAAGUCCAGGGCUCAACCCUGGAAUGCCGGUGGAUACUGUCGGGCUAGAGUCCGGAAGGGGCGAGUGGAAUUCCUGGCGUAGCGGUGAAAUGACGCAGAUAUCAGGAGGAACACCAAUGGCGAAGGCAGCUCGCUGGGACGUGACUGACGCUGAGACGCGAAAGCGUGGGGAGCAAACAGG
rnacentral:rRNA from 1 species